CCUACGGGGGGCAGCAGUGGGGAAUAUUGGACAAUGGGCGAAAGCCUGAUCCAGCCAUGCCGCGUGUGUGAAGAAGGCCUUCGGGUUGUAAAGCACUUUCAGUGGGGAAGAAAGCCUUGGGGCUAAUACCCUCGAGGAAGGACAUCACCCACAGAAGAAGCACCGGCUAACUCCGUGCCAGCAGCCGCGGUAAUACGGAGGGUGCGAGCGUUAAUCGGAAUUACUGGGCGUAAAGCGCGCGUAGGCGGUCUGAUAAGCCGGUUGUGAAAGCCCCGGGCUCAACCUGGGAACGGCAUCCGGAACUGUCAGGCUAGAGUGCAGGAGAGGAAGGUAGAAUUCCCGGUGUAGCGGUGAAAUGCGUAGAGAUCGGGAGGAAUACCAGUGGUGAAGGCGGCCUUCUGGACUGACACUGACGCUGAGGUGCGAAAGCGUGGGUAGCAAACAGGAUUAGAUACCCGAGUAGUC
rnacentral:rRNA from 1 species